UUGUUCACUUUGGCAGCAUAUCUACUAAAAUUGGAAAAACACACAGAAGUCUAGCAUGGCCACUGUGUAGGACGAUUCAUAAAUCCCAGAAUCAGAUCAUAUAAUU
ensembl:snRNA U6 U6 spliceosomal RNA